GAAGCUAGAGGAGGUAGGAAGUGGCUUCAUGGCAACACUGCAGCUGUGCUUUUCAUGAUCAUUAAUGGAUCUGAUGGAAUAAGACAGUGGAAAAUGGAGGAGGAGGAAGGGGCACACAGGAAGACAAAGUGCGCUGAAAGAAGAAAGAAGCCUAGAAAAUAGCACAGAAUACUGAGAGACACAGAAGAGAACACGAAGAGAUUGCAAUGGGACUGGGACUUGGAACCACUUUCUGUACAUGUUGUUUUAAGUAUUAAUUUUUGUGUAAAUGGCAUAUAAGAUCCUCAUCCACCAUCUACAUAAAAGAUUGUGGUGCCAAACAGGACUGCCCCGUGUGGGCUUUGUUUCCAAGUCAGCUUUCUCACAAGCAUCUCUCCAUUUUCUGACAAAUGAACGGAACAAGUUCAUUGGAACAAGGAGGGUGUAUUGUCUCUAUUUGCCGUUGGCUGGUUUGCUUCCUUGGGGGACUUAAUGAAGGAGCAGCAUUUGGACAGGAGGGAAAGAGCUUUGGAGUUGUCAAAAAGCACUAGUUAAAAAGCUUCAAACUGGGUCUUGCCAGUGUGUAACUGCUGUGGAAGAAAACAUUUGAAAACAAAACAUGCAUUUUUAAUAAAUGGAGACAUAAAAGUUA